CGUAGUCGGAUUUCGGGGCGGGCCUGCCGGUCUGCCGAUGGGUAUGCACUGGUGGGCGCGUCCUUCCUUCCGGAGACCGUGCCUACUCUUAACUGAGCGGGGGCGGGAGACGGAUCGUUUACUUUGAAAAAAUCAGAGUGUUUCAAGCAGACUCGCGUCUUUGCAUGGAUUAGCAUGGGAUAAUGAAAUAGGACUUUGGUGCUAUUUUGUUGGUUUCGAACACCGAAGUAAUGAUUAAAAGGGACAGUCAGGGGCACUCGUAUUCCGUCGAGAGAGGUGAAAUUCUCAGACCAACGGAAGACGAACUACUGCGAAAGCAUUUGCCAGGGAUGUUUUCACUGAUCAAGAACGAAAGUUAGGGGAUCGAAGACGAUCAGAUACCGUCGUAGUCUUAACCAUAAACAAUGCCGACUAGGGAUUGGAGGAUGUUCAUUAUUGACUCCUUCAGCACCUUACGGGAAACUAAAGUCUUUGGGUUCCGGGGGGAGUAUGGUCGCAAGGCUGAAACUUAAAGGAAUUGACGGAAGGGCACCACCAGGAGUGGAGCCUGCGGCUUAAUUUGACUCAACACGGGGAAACUUACCAGGUCCAGACAUUGUGAGGAUUGACAGAUUGAGAGCUCUUUCUUGAUUCGAUGGGUGGUGGUGCAUGGGCCGUUCUUAGUUGGGUGGGAGUGAUUUGUCUGGUUAAUUCCGUUAACGAA
rnacentral:rRNA from 1 species